rnacentral:rRNA from 1 species
CACGUAGGGCGCAAGCGUUGUCCGGAAUUAUUGGGCGUAAAGAGCUCGUAGGCGGUCUGUUACGUCUGCUGUGAAAACCCGGGGCUUAACCCUGGGCUUGCAGUGGAUACGGGCAGACUAGAGGCAGGUAGGGGAGAAUGGAAUUCCCGGUGUAGCGGUGAAAUGCGUAGAUAUCUGGAGGAACACCGGUGGCGAAGGCGGCAUCCUGGACCGACACUGACGCUGAGGAGCGAAAGCCAGGGGAGCGAACAGG